CAGUCGCCGCGGGAAUACGGAGGAUCCAAGCGUUAUCCGGAAUCAUUGGGUUUAAAGGGUCCGUAGGCGGUCUUGUAAGUCAGUGGUGAAAGCCCAUCGCUCAACGGUGGAACGGCCAUUGAUACUGCAGGACUUGAAUUAUUGGGAAGUAACUAGAAUAUGUAGUGUAGCGGUGAAAUGCUUAGAUAUUACAUGGAAUACCAAUUGCGAAGGCAGGUUACUACCAAUUGAUUGACGCUGAUGGACGAAAGCGUGGGUAGCGAACAGGAUUAGAUACCCGCGUAGUCCCUGUCUCUUAUAC
rnacentral:rRNA from 1 species